GAUGAACGCUAGCGGCAGGCCUAAUACAUGCAAGUCGAACGGUGUCUUCGGACAUUGUGGCGCACGGGUGCGUAACACGUAUGCAACCUACCUUACAUUGGGGGAUAGCCUUUCGAAAGGGAGAUUAAUACCGCAUAAGACAGUAGCUGGGCAUCCAGCAGCUGUUAAAGAUUUAUCGAUGUAAGCUGGGCAUGCGUCCAAUUAGCUAGUUGGUGAGGUAACGGCUCACCAAGGCAAUGAUUGGUAGGGGAACUGAGAGGUCAAUCCCCCACACUGGCACUGAGAUACGGGCCAGACUCCUACGGGAGGCAGCAGUAGGGAAUAUUGGGCAAUGGACGCAAGUCUGACCCAGCCAUGCCGCGUGCAGGAUGAAGGCGUUAUGCGUUGUAAACUGCUUUUAUACAGGAAGAAACGACUCUUGCGAGAGGCAUUGACGGUACUGUAUGAAUAAGCACCGGCUAACUCCGUGCCAGCAGCCGCAGUAA
rnacentral:rRNA from 1 species